GUUUCAGACGAUCAGUUAGUCCCUCCCCGUUUCAGACGAUCAGUUAGUCCCUCCCCGUUUCAGACCGUCAGUUAGUCCCUCCCUGUUUCAGACGAUCAGUUAGUCCCUCCCUGUUUCAGACGAUCAGUUAGUCCCUCCCUGUUUCAGACGAUCAGUUAGUCCCUCCCUGUUUCAGACGAUCAGUUAGUCCCUCCCUGUUUCAGACGAUCAGUUAGUCCCUCCCUGUUUCAGACGAUCAGUUAGUCCCUCCCUGUUUCAGACGAUCAGUUAGUCCCUCCCCGUUUCAGACGAUCAGUUAGUCCCUCCCUGUUUCAGACGAUCAGUUAGUCCCUCCCUGUUUCAGACGAUCAGUUAGUCCCUCCCUGUUUCAGACGAUCAGUUAGUCCCUCCCUGUUUCAGACCGCUUCGAUAAGUUUGGUGCCAAAGGAAUACGACCUGGGUGUUAUAGAGCCCCACUGUGGAGGUGGUGUCAUAAUACCCAUAACACCUAGCGGGUCAAAACAGGGAAAAGGUUCCAAUCUUUCUCUCACCAUACAUUUUUCCCCCCUAUAGGGGAUUUUAGAAAGAGUUAAAAUAAGGGCUGCGUUUGGUGUAGUUUACCCCAGUGUGACGUUUUAAUUACCAUGUAAAUCUCUCCAGGACAAGGUGACUUUUAUCAAUAUAUCUCCAGGACAAGGUGACUUUUAUCAAUAUAUCUCUAGGACAAGGUGACUUUUAUCAAUAUAUCUCCAGGACAAGGUGACUUUUAUCAAUAUAUCUCCAGGACAAGGUGACUUUUAUCAAUAUAUCUCCAGGACAAGGUGACUUUUAUCAAUAUAUCUCUAGGACAAGGUGACUUUUAUCAAUAUAUCUCCAGGACAAGGUGACUUUUAUCAAUAUAUCUCCAGGACAAGGUGACUUUUAUCAAUAUAUCUCUAGGACAAGGUGACUUUUAUCAAUAUAUCUCCAGGACAAGGUGACUUUUAUCAAUAUAUCUCUAGGACAAGGUGACUUUUAUCAAUAUAUCUCUAGGACAAGGUGACUUUUAUCAAUAUAUCUCUAGGACAAGGUGACUUUUAUCAAUAUAUCUCCAGGACAAGGUGACUUUUAUCAAUAUAUCUCCAGGACAAGGUGACUUUUAUCAAUAUAUCUCUAGGACAAGGUGACUUUUAUCAAUAUAUCUCUAGGACAAGGUGACUUUUAUCAAUAUAUCUCCAGGACAAGGUGACUUUUAUCAAUAUAUCUCUAGGACAAGGUGACUUUUAUCAAUAUAUCUCUCUAUAGAUCAUCUAUUGUCUGGCUUAGUUUAAUAACACCAUUACAUGACAAGGUAAAUAGAUCAUCUAUUGU